rnacentral:rRNA from 1 species
AACCAGCACCUCAAGUGGUCAGGAUGAUUAUUGGGCCUAAAGCAUCCGUAGCCGGCUCUGUAAGUUUUCGGUUAAAUCUGUACGCUUAACGUAUAGGCUGCCGGGAAUACUGCAGAGCUAGGUAGUGGGAGAGGUAGACGGUACUCGGUAGGAAGGGGUAAAAUCCUUUGAUCUAUUGAUGACCACCUGUGGCGAAGGCGGUCUACCAGAACACGUACGACGGUGAGGGAUGAAAGCUGGGGGAGCAAACCGGAUUAGAUACCCGGGUAGUCCCAGCUGUAAACUAUGCAAACUCAGUGAUGCAUUGGCUUGUGGCCAAUGCAGUGCUGCAGGGAAGCCGUUAAGUUUGCCGCCUGGGAAGUACGUACGCAAGUAUGAAACUUAAAGGAAUUGGCGGGGGAGCACCACAAGGGGUGAAGCCUGCGGUUCAAUUGGAGUCAACGCCAGAAAUCUUACCCGGAGAGACAGCAGAAUGAAGGUCAAGCUGAAGACUUUACCAGACAAGCUGAGAGGUGGUGCAUGGCCGUCGCCAGCUCGUGCCGUGAGAUGUCCUGUUAAGUCAGGUAACGAGCGAGAUCCCUGCCUCUAGUUGCCACCAUUACUCUCAGGAGUAGUGGGGCGAAUUAGCGGGACCGCCGCAGUUAAUGCGGAGGAAGGAAGGGGCCACGGCAGGUCAGUAUGCCCCGAAACUCUGGGGCCACACGCGGGCUGCAAUGGUAACGACAAUGGGUUUCGAAUUCGAAAGGAUGAGGUAAUCCUCAAACGUUACCACAGUUAUGACUGAGGGCUGCAACUCGCCCUCACGAAUAUGGAAUCCCUAGUAACUGCGUGUCACUAUCGCGCGGUGAAUACGUCCCUGCUCCU